rnacentral:rRNA from 1 species
GACGGAGGGUGCGAGCGUUGUCCGGAAUCACUGGGCGUAAAGGGCGCGUAGGCGGCCUGAUAAGUAGGGGGUGAAAUCCUGCGGCUUAACCGCAGGGCUGCCUUCUAAACUGUCAGGCUGGAGCACAGUAGAGGCAGGUGGAAUUCCCGGUGUAGCGGUGGAAUGCGUAGAGAUCGGGAAGAACAUCAGUGGCGAAGGCGGCCUGCUGGGCUGUUGCUGACGCUGAGGCGCGACAGCGUGGGGAGCAAACAGG